rnacentral:rRNA from 1 species
UACGUAGGGGGCGAGCGUUGUCCGGAUUUACUGGGCGUAAAGAGCUCGUAUGCGGUUUGAUAAGUCGGUUGCGAAACCUCCAGGCUUAACCUGGAGUCGCCACUUGAUACUGUCAUGACUAGAAUCCGGUAGGGGACCAUGGAAUUCCUGGUGUAGCGGUGAAAUGCGCAGAUAUCAGGAGGAACACCAGUAGCGAAGGCGGUGGUCUGGGCCGGUAUUGACGCUGAGGAGCGAAAGCGUGGGGAGCGAACAGG